AGAGUUUGAUCCUGGCUCAGAGUGAACGCUGGCGGCGUGCCUAAUACAUGCAAGUCGAACGAUGAAGCUUCUAGCUUGCUAGAAUGCUGAUUAGUGGCGCACGGGUGAGUAACGCAUAGGUUAUGUGCCUCUUAGUUUGGGAUAGCCAUUGGAAACGAUGAUUAAUACCAGAUACUCCCUACGGGGGAAAGAUUUAUCGCUAAGAGAUCAGCCUAUGUCCUAUCAGCUUGUUGGUAAGGUAAUGGCUUACCAAGGCUAUGACGGGUAUCCGGCCUGAGAGGGUGAACGGACACACUGGAACUGAGACACGGUCCAGACUCCUACGGGAGGCAGCAGUAGGGAAUAUUGCUCAAUGGGGGAAACCCUGAAGCAGCAACGCCGCGUGGAGGAUGAAGGUUUUAGGAUUGUAAACUCCUUUUGUUAGAGAAGAUAAUGACGGUAUCUAACGAAUAAGCACCGGCUAACUCCGUGCCAGCAGCCGCGGUAAUACGGAGGGUGCAAGCGUUACUCGGAAUCACUGGGCGUAAAGAGCGCGUAGGCGGGAUAGUCAGUCAGGUGUGAAAUCCUAUGGCUUAACCAUAGAACUGCAUUUGAAACUACUAUUCUAGAGUGUGGGAGAGGUAGGUGGAAUUCUUGGUGUAGGGGUAAAAUCCGUAGAGAUCAAGAGGAAUACUCAUUGCGAAGGCGACCUGCUGGAACAUUACUGACGCUGAUUGCGCGAAAGCGUGGGGAGCAAACAGGAUUAGAUACCCUGGUAGUCCACGCCCUAAACGAUGGAUGCUAGUUGUUGGAGGGCUUAGUCUCUCCAGUAAUGCAGCUAACGCAUUAAGCAUCCCGCCUGGGGAGUACGGUCGCAAGAUUAAAACUCAAAGGAAUAGACGGGGACCCGCACAAGCGGUGGAGCAUGUGGUUUAAUUCGAAGAUACACGAAGAACCUUACCUAGGCUUGACAUUGAGAGAAUCCGCUAGAAAUAGUGGAGUGUCUGGCUUGCCAGACCUUGAAAACAGGUGCUGCACGGCUGUCGUCAGCUCGUGUCGUGAGAUGUUGGGUUAAGUCCCGCAACGAGCGCAACCCCCUUUCUUAGUUGCUAACAGGUCAUGCUGAGAACUCUAAGGAUACUGCCUCCGUAAGGAGGAGGAAGGUGGGGACGACGUCAAGUCAUCAUGGCCCUUACGCCUAGGGCUACACACGUGCUACAAUGGGGUGCACAAAGAGAAGCAAUACUGCGAAGUGGAGCCAAUCUUCAAAACAUCUCUCAGUUCGGAUUGUAGGCUGCAACUCGCCUGCAUGAAGCUGGAAUCGCUAGUAAUCGCAAAUCAGCCAUGUUGCGGUGAAUACGUUCCCGGGUCUUGUACUCACCGCCCGUCACACCAUGGGAGUUGUGUUUGCCUUAAGUCAGGAUGCUAAAUUGGCUACUGCCCACGGCACACACAGCGACUGGGGUGAAGUCGUAACAAGGUAACCGUAGGUGAACCUGCGGUUG
rnacentral:rRNA from 1 species